rnacentral:lncRNA from 1 species
UAAAAUUCUAGCUACCAUCCUCAGUGUUUUAUAUGCCUGAUAAAACUGAAAACAUUAAUUAUGAUUAUAAAAGCUAUCUACUCUGUAUUGAGUUUGUUCAAAAUGAGUUAGACCCUUGUUGAGAGAUUUAUCAUGCUCCUAAGAUAAAGACAUUUAUUCAGAAAGAUUCACUCUUCCGAAGUAUUAUUGCAUUAGAGGCAUGGGCUAUGCAAAAAUAGAGAUAUUUCGAGGAAAUAAAAAGGAGCAAGUGCUUGACAACAUCGC